rfam:Streptomyces sp. WM6378 P402contig257.1, whole genome shotgun sequence.
CGAAGGUGGGACUGGCGAUUGGGACGAAGUCGUAACAAGGUAGCCGUACCGGAAGGUGCGGCUGGAUCACCUCCUUU